CACCCCUUUUGCUGAGCCGAGUUGGCGGCCAGAAGGAGCAGCUCUGAGGCUGCACACUUGGCCAGGAGGAGGGCGGGGGCCCGGUGGAGGCCAGGGCAGGCAGGGACCGGAGGAGGCUGGGGCUGGCUCCAGUGCUGGGCGGAGCCUCCCAGGAAAGGUCACCUGUCCGUCACUUCCUCAUUCAUCAAAUUUGUACCGAUUCCUGGCCUGGGUGCAAGGCGGGAGGAGGGGAGAUGGCCAGGAGUGAACACACAGCCCUGCCCUCAGGGGGCUUAGAAGGGGUCACAAGGAGAGGAGGACAGCUGAUGACGCAGGAGAGAUGAGCAAAGCUGCAGAGGAGCCUUGAGAUGGUGAAAGGGGAUGAGAAAUGACACAAGGGCCCCCGGGCAAUUCCACGGCUUGGGUACCGGAGCUCAAGGGGCCGCACGGGGGCUGGCCAGGACGAGGGCUUUGCUGCAUCGCCACCACCGUGAAACAUAAACCAUGAGGCUUCUGCCCCUGAAGGAGGGUGGGUAACAUCUGCAGCGCGGAGCAGGGAAGAAGGAGGCCCCGGAAUAAGGAGAGCUCCUGCAGACGGUGCAGGGAGCGGCAGUCUGUCAGGGCAAGAACGAUUCGGCCAGGUUUGGGGGAUGCGAGGGCAUCCCAGGUGGUGCCUGUGCCCCCAGGAUGUGUCCACGUUGGGCCUGACGCUGCACCCCACACGGCAAGGCUGCAGCAGAGUGGAAAUGGCGGAGGGUCCCCAGGCAGGUGGGACUGAGGACAGUCUUACAGAGCCCCUCGCUGCAGCUGAGCGGAGGAAGGCCAGGAGCAGAGGAUCCAGGGGUGGCCUUAUGGAUCCAACUGUCUUCCCCCAAUCAAGUGAAGGGGAGGGCAUUAGGGUGGCCCUAGUCCAAUGUGACUGGAGUCCUUAUAAAAAGAGGAGGAGACGCAGCAGAGAUCACAGUGAUGCAUCCACAAGCCUGGGGCUCCCGGAAGCUGGAAGAGGCAAGGAGGGAUCCUUCUCCACAGGCUUCGGAGGAAGUGUGGCACCUGCGAUACCUUGAUCUCAGACUUCUAGACUCCAGACUGUAAUACAUUUCUGUUGUCUUAAGCCAGCCAGUUUGGGGCACUUUGUUACACAGCUCUAGUAAACCAGGACAGAUGGGGAGAUGCUUGACUCCGAGAUGAGACGUUAGGCAAUGCAAGGUCCACCGUGAACAUCAUCGAAUGCCCACACGAUGCCCAGAGACCAGGGCAGACCAAACCAGCCACCCCAGAGCAGGUCAGUGACAGCAGGUAGGACAAGACACUCCUUCCUCGACCUCUUGAGGCGGCAUAAACUCCUCCACACAUCCAGACCCCAACCACAAAAGGAAACAGAAGGGAGACACGCUGAGCGCAGAGGAACCACCCUGACAAGGAGUUAGGGCCUUGAGUUGACCAGAUAUUUGCCUGGAAGAGACUGUCUUCACAAAGGAAGAGACUGACUUUCAGUUUUGUCACCUCCACCUCCUCCACUGCCAAGACAGCAGCAGGAAAGGGCGCGCAAGGUCAAAAUGAGAUCCAUUCUAGAAAAUCAAGUUUUUUCACACGCCUUGGUCCAAGAGUGUACAUUUCAUCCCACUACACUCGUUUUCACAAAUAGUCUCUGUGGAGUUGGGCCACCUCUUUAAGCACGGAUAGAGGAGGGGCUCAGAGGAGGGACACCGAGGUGGGCUGAAUUGGUGCGUCUCCAGAUGGGGUGACCUCAUUUAAUCAUGAGGAUGUUCACUGGAGCAUGGCUUAUAAACGCAAAAUACUGGAAGCAACCUAAAUAUCCAACCAUAUGGGACUGCGUAAAUAAAUGAUUAUAAUGGACUACCAUUGAAAUUAUGCCGCCUAAGAUUGUUUAAUGAUAUGGGGAGAAGGUUGAGAUAAAGACUAAGUAAUAAUAAUCAUAAUAAAGUAAAAG
rnacentral:lncRNA from 1 species